GCCGCUGUGGUCAAGUGGCUAAAAAUUUUGCCAUUCACGUAAACGUUCGCUGGUUCAAUCCCUGCGGUGAUA